GGAUUGAUAUAUGCGUAUAACGAUCGAUAAACUGUAGACUAACGCGUGAACUUUUGUACGUGUCUUUAUCUAGUUUUAUACCACUCGACAGUUAAAGAAGAUAAAGCUCUCUGCGGGAAGUCAGUAGGAAGGAGUGAGACAGUCUGAUCGACGGAAUUUAUCAUAAAUGCCGUUACCGCGGCUGGAGCAACAGUUUACCGUAUUUCGUCUCGGUAGUUGCGUCGCUUGUAAGAUCCGCUUCGAUAUAUCGCGCCGCGGCGGCAUUUUCACGUCUUCGCGCUAGGCUUACAAAAAAUGAAUAUCAGCAUCGCGACGACAAUACUCUUUAUUUUUGCGUUUAUACCUGCCUAUGAUAAUGCGUAUCUAGGAUUUACGGAAUUCUUCAUUGACAGAAACCAGCAUGCAAAUUCGACGAACAAUUCGUGUUGCGUCGACGUUUACGAGGAUGUUCCAAGCCACCUCGUCGAUAGCGCGUUCGUGGAGAUUAUCUCGAAGUUGGACGACGAAGAGAAGUCAAAAUUAUACGACGAAACAAAGCCGCAGAACUGCACGCCGCACUCACUCGAAGAGUUCCCGGACGAUCUCUUUACGGCAGAGCAGCGGCGUCAAGGCGCGGUAGCAUUGCACGCGUUCUUCAGCUUCUACUGCUUCUUGAUGACCGCGUUUGUUUGCAACGACUACCUGCUGCCGUCGCUCGACUGCAUUUGCGCGCAUAUGAAGAUCAGCAGCGACGUGGCCGGGGCGACCUUCCUCGCCGCCGCGAGCAGCUUCCCCGAGCUCUUCGUCAACAUGAUCGGUACCUUCGUGACGAAAUCCGAUCUCGGAGUCGGCACUGUCAUGGGCAGCGCGGUCUUCGACACCUUCGCCACUCCAGCAUGCGGCGCGUUAUCGGCGUUUCACGCAAUACAAUUAGAAUGGCGGAUAUUAACACGCGAUUGCAUAUUUAACGUGAUAUCAGUCAGCACUCUGGUGGUCAUAAUGAGGGACGGCGUAAUUGAGUUAUACGAAGCAGCCAUCCUCAUAGUAUUGCUAAUCGCUUACCUAACGAUAUUGUUUUGCGGCAAAUGCUUUGUACGAUGGUAUAGUAAGUUUGCGCAUCUGUUUACUGGCAAAACCAGCGGCACAGUCUUUUCAGAAGAAAAAUCUCCCAAGAGCAAGGAAGAACCCAUAGUCGACGGUCUCUAUAGACCGUACUUUCAUGGCGAACUCGUGGCGGAAUAUAGAAGGAAAAGCGGUGCGAGCAUCGGAGCUCAGAAGCCUUCCACUGAUCGCGAUGUGGAAGCACAAAAUAAUCUGGAAACUGCGGAGGAAUAUGUGGAGCCAGAUACGCCCUUUGUAUGGCCAACCGGCGGUAAUCUAGCCAAAAUCUGGUUCUGCUUUGUUUGGCCUUUAAAACUAAUCUUGUUCGUUACCGUACCGGACAGCAGAUACAAACGAUGGAAAAACUGGUAUCCGGUAACGUUCAUUAUGUGCGUCUUAUGGAUUGCGAUUACCUCCUACCUGGUAUCAUGGAUGAUGACUGUCCUCGGCGACACUAUAGAUAUUUCGGAUUCCAUAACGGGUCUCACGUUUCUGGCCGCCGGCGGCAAUAUGCCAGAACUCAUCUCGAUCGUGAUACUUUCCAGGCAAGGUGAGCAGUCGGAUGAAAACACGUGGAACAAUUCGUCUCUCGAUGUCCUCGAACCGGGAUAAUAGGUUCAUUUUUGCGCAAUGAGAUGCACCCCCUCAGAUGUCGCAUUAAAGUUCGAGAAGAAGAAAGACGAGAUCUACCUUCUUCGAAGUAUCAAUCGAAGAGAAACACGCCCGUCAGAAGGGUCGAAGAAUCUGUUUCAUUCGAUGUAACGGUGACAUGGCUAUGAGCAAUACAUUAGGCGCAAACACACUCGAUAUUUUAAUGUGUCUUGGAGUACCCUGGUUUAUAAAGACCUGCAUAUCAGGGAAGAGCAUUCACAUCGUCUCGGGUGCGCUGUUGUACAGCGU